rnacentral:tRNA from 1 species
GGUCGGAAGUUCAAGUCUUCCCAGGCCCACCACACUCAUCGGGUAAGCAUUCGUCUUCUGGUUACGGGGCCAUAGCUCAGCUGGGAGAGCGCGUGCUUUGCAAGCAUGAGGUCGUCGGUUCGAUCCCGUCUGGCUCCACCAGAUGGUUCGAUCACCAACGGCAUGAUGACCGUCGUCCGCGAAACAUCACUUCGCACCCACUAGUCCGGAUGGACAGUGAGGCUGCGGGAUUUCUGACAUCGUAAAGAGGAGAUCGAUCCGAGUUGGAUCGUGCAGCAAGCAAUUGCCGCGCGAUACUUCAUUAUCUCCGGAUCAUUUCGGCGCUUGCUUCGCCCUUCAAGGUCAAACUUGAGAGGUGAUGCGAGUUGUAAAUGAUCCUUUUAGCGAAGCUUGACCGCCUCGCUAUCGGAACGAUCUUACGAAGCAAGCUGGUCUUUCUAAUCAUUGUCCGGCUGUAGAUAGCGUUCAUCGAGGGCGCGUGCCGCAAGGCAAUUCUGCAGACAACAUUCUGCCGAGUGUGUGGACAUUGAUAAUGAGAGC